ensembl:lncRNA
GAAAGUAGAGUAUUUUAUUGAUUGAUGCUGGUUUGUUUAGAUUACUGGACUAUGAGACUGAAAAAGCUAAUAGGCUACGGAAGGACUAGAAAGAAAACAACUUUUACAGUGGAAACAAACAGAAGUUUAGAGAGCAGAGAAUUAUGUGAGUGAAAGGCUUUUGUUUUGGGUAGAGGGGGCACUUUAUCUGCUUCAUCCAGCAGCCCGGGAUGCAUCUGGCACUGGGUAGUCUUUCUUCCCAGCUUCUUCUCCUGGCCCGCUUGCGUCUGAUGCAGACUCUGCUCUCCCUGGGCUUCCUGGUUUGGCAGCUUCCAAUCAGCCCUGUGGGUUUAAUUAGCACUUCGAUGCACACAGUUCCCAAAGCGGCGGUCUCCAGAGGUGACCUCUCUCUCUCUCCAGUCACAUUCCUCAUACCUAAUUCCCUGUUAGCACCCUGCCAUGCUAUAUUAAAAAUAGAACCCAUGAGCGUCUCCUCGUUCCCAUCUCUGUUCGUAUUCGUGAUACCACUGCCACUCCCAAGCUGUGUAAUCUUGGGUCAGACCCUCCCUUGUCUCUUUUCAUUCAGUCAGUUAGUCAAACCUGAUUCUGCUUUACGUGUGUCUGUCUUCUCUUCAGGCCCAACCCCCCCCCCGACACACACACGCACGCACGCACACACACACACACACACACACACACACACACACACACAUGCACGCACGCACGCACCAUUCUAUCUAGGUUACAACAGUAGUCUUUCAGUUUUUCACUUGAAUCGUGUUUUGGUUUGGCCAUUCGACACCCCCAUUUGGUUCGUGUGUUUGAACAUCGGGUUACAGCUGGCAGCUGGCUUGGAAGGUUUUGGAACCUUUAGAAGGUGGAGCCUCACGGGAGGAAGUGAUCCCUGGGGUGGCAGGCCUUCUGGGCAGCAGUCUGGCCCUGGUUCUAGUCAGUGUUUUUGUCUCUACUUCCUAACAGCUGGGAUCAUGUGAGCAGCAGCCGGCGUACUCUCUCACACAGCAAACAACAAUAACAAACCCUUCUUCAUUCUUUAGGUUGUUUCCGUCAGGUGUCCUGGGAGGGAUGAGGAAAAUGGCUGAUAAGGUUCCCUUUCCAGGAAAAAAAAAAAAAAAAAAAACAGACAGAGCUCACUCAGCACCACCGAAAGGUCCUGGAAGCAAAUUCACUCUUUCAGUGCAACAGUGAUCUGUGGCACGUGAAUCUGGAACGAAUGAGACAAGAUCCUUACUCUGCAGCGAGUAGUGACAGACGGUGAGGAGUCACCCAAGUAAAUACGGCUGACGCGUGCAUAGUGGAGCCUGCAUUCCCACCACUCAGGCAGAGGAUGGCUACUAAGACAGGGUGAUGAAAGUUUGUGAGACCAGCCUAGGCUGCAUAGCAAGACCUGUCUCGGAAAAUAUAUAAAUAAAUACACAUCUUGAGAGAGAACUCACCUUUGGUGAUGGCUUUGACAGGAUGACACUUUCAACUUUGGGUAGAGUAGUAAAGAGUUUUUGUUUUUUUUUUUAAGUAAUGAUAGUAAGCUGAGAGCUGACUGAGCUAAGACUUGCUUCUUACAGUUAGAAAAAACAAUUGAGAAGAGUUAGAAAGUGGAAGAGAAAUAGGCAGGGACAGCCUGAGAGUCAGCCUUGAAGGAGUCUGGAGAGAUCAGUUUGAGGCCUAGGGAAGUGGCUAACUCGGCGGUGUUUGCUGUGCGAGCCCAAGGACCAGAGUUCGGAUCCCACCCAUUACAGGCAUAGAAGCCUGGUGUCACCACACUCAUCUGUAACUCUGGGACUUGGGGAAUAGACACAGGUGGAUCCCAUGGGCUUUCUGGUCAACCAGUAGAGGCAAGCAUCAAGCUACUGGUUUAAUGAGAGAUCCUAGUCUCGAAAGGAAAUGCUGUGCUGUUGAGAUAGCUCAGGAGAUGAAACACUUGCUGCACCAAAUAGGAGUGCUAGAGUUUGAGUCCCGAAGAAACCGUGAAAAGCCAGAUGAGGUGGUGCCAUCCGUGAGCCCGAGGCUCCUUAUGGUAUGAGAAAUCAGACUGAGCAAGCCAUGGAGAGCAAUCCAGUAAGUAGCACUCCUCCAUGGCCUCAGUUUCAGUUCCUGUCUCCGGGUUCCUGCCCUACUUGAGUUCCCACCCAGACUUGCUUCCCCGUUAUCUUCUGUUACCUAGAAGUAUGAAAUGAAAUGAGCCCUUUCUCCCCAUCGCUUUUGGUCAUGCUAUUUUAUCACGGCAAUAAAAACCCUAACUGGGAUAUAAACCAAGGGAGUGAAAAACUUGUAUAAUGAAAACUUUAAGACACUGAAAUCAACAACAACAAAAAAAAAAAAAAGGAAAGGAAACAAGACAACUCCUGAAGGUGGAAACCCCUUCCAUAGUCACUCAUGUGUUGGCAAGAUGAAUAUUGUGAAAACGCCCAUCCAAUCACAGGUAGUCUCAGUGACAAAAUGAUCCUCAUUAUAGUUCUAGUGCAUUUCCUCGUAUGAAUUUGAAUAAUAAUCUUAAAUUUCAUAUGGAAACACAAAGGCCCAGGAUAGCCAAAACAUCUUAAAUAAUAAAAACACUGCCAGAGGUAUUACCAUAUGAGAUUUCAAGUUAUUCUAGCAGAACUACAGCAGUGAAAACAAUAGGAUAGUGGCAUAAAUCAAUACACCCUUAUACAAUGAAAUAGAAUUGAGUAUGUAAAUGGAAACCCACAGGCCUACCGCCAUCUGAUUUUUGACAAAGAGACUAAAACUACCCAUUGGGGAAACGAUAGACUCAUCAGCAACUGGUGCUGGGCAAACCGGAAGCUCCGUUAGAAGAAAGUAGAUCCUUAUAGAUCACCCCACACAAAACUCAACCCCAACUAGAUGGUGGACCCCGAGCCUUCCCUGUGAGAAGUCAGGGAGUACACUUCAACUUUCAGGCACGGGAAAUGACUUUCUGAGCAGGAAUAACUAAGUUUUUCAAACCUAAUUUUUUUAUAGCCCUCCCUCCCCAAAACCUAAUUUUUUCAAUGAUGAUUCUUAAACACUUUAACCUCCCUUUUAGCCCACCGCCCGCCAGAGGUAGUGGGAAAGAAAGGAUACAGGGGAAGCGGACCUGUUUAGAAAGGUUCUCUGAAGCAACUCCAGUCUGUGUUGUCUGGAAAUCAGCAGUUCAAUUCACAGGUCAUCUGGCGGCAGCAGCUCGAUCCUUUGCAAGCACUUCACUGAUAACACCAGCAGUUCAGCUCAGCAGAAUCCAGUUAGCAACAGCAGUGACAACCUAGCAGAGACAGCCAGGCCUCAGCCUCUGCUCAAGUUAGCACGAAGGACCCAGAGGAAUGCCAGACAUUCUCAGCUGUGCCUCUCUCAGGGAAGCAAAGAUCAGUGAAGACAAGAGACCAACAAGCAUUGCACGGCUAGCUAUACCAGCAAGCCAAGCAAUCAUCACGGGUCCUCCAUGUGUCUUUCCUCGGCACAUGAGUCUGUCUCAGCUGACAUCACUCUGCCAAACAACCUAAGACCACGGAAGCAGCAAGAAACUGCAGCACGCCACCAGAAGUUAUGGAGUCCAAACAAAUGCAGCUCAACUAUACAAUGUAAGGCGAACCAAUACGUGCGCGUCAUUAGCGAAGAAUCCUUCAUCACGUGUCCUUUCAUGUGCUUGCUUUAGCAGAGCAUCCUUUCACCUGUGUCUGCUUUAGUGAGACAUCCCUUCAUGAGUCUACUUUAGCCUGUCACUGGUUUCCACUUCAGGAAAACACUCCUUCACGUGUUUGCCCAAGUAAAACGCCUUCCAACACAACUGACUUGCCAAAGAGCCCUUAAGUGUCCACUUCAAACAGGACCCCAGUAGGAUAGACAUUAGGACCAAUAAUUGGUAAAAAGGGAUCAAUGGAACUAAAAAGUGUCUAUAUAGCAAAACACACCACUCUAUGAGUGACGAGACAGCCUAUAAGAAAAAAACUUUACCGGCUAUACAUCCGGCUGGGGGUUAAUGUCUAAAAUGUACAAAGAACUAAAACAAGACAAAAAGCCAAAACCCAAUGCAAUUUAAGUCUGGAAUGUGGAACUAAGCAGAGGGUUUUUAAAAGGAGAAAUACAAAUUGCCGAGAAAUAAUUUUUAAAAUCUUCAAGAUCAAUCACAUCGGGGGGAAAUGAAAAUAAUACCACUUUGAGAUUUCAUUUAACCCCAGUCAAAGAUAACUCAAAAAUUUUCAAAAAAGUCAAUAAACGGUGGUAUAGAUUUGGGGGAAGGGGGGUACUUAUUCACAGGUGGGGCUAUAAACUGGUGUAGCUACAUGGAAAUCAGUGUGGGGAUUCCUCAAAAGCCUAGAAAUGAUAGGUCUACCAUAUGGCCCAGCUAUGCCAACCUUGGCAUAUACCCAACGGAUACCCCAUCACACAGAUGCUUACGUAUCCAUGUUCAUAGCUGCUCUUCAUGGUAGCCAGAGAGUGGGAGCAGCCUCUGUGCCCGUUAACUGAUGGAUGGAUGUGUGAGCAUGGUAUAGUCAUACAAUGGAAUAUCAUCCUGCUGUUAAGAAGAAUGAAAUUUGCAGUUAAAUGGAUGGAACUGAAACCCUCCA